GCACGGGCAGGGGUAACUCUGUCAGUGGCGGACGGGUGAGUAACGCGUAGGUAUCUAUCCUNCGGGUGGGGGACAACCACGGGAAACUGUGGCUAAUACCGCAUGAUGACUGAGGUCCAAAGGCGCAAGUCGCCUGGGGAGGAGCCUGCGUCCGAUUAGCUUGUUGGUGGGGUAAAGGCCUACCAAGGCUCCGAUCGGUAGCUGGUCUGAGAGGAUGAUCAGCCACACUGGGACUGAGACACGGCCCAGACUCUCGCGGGAGGCAGCAGUGGGGAAUAUUGGACAAUGGGCGAAAGCCUGAUCCAGCAAUGCCGCGUGGGUGAAGAAGGUCUUCGGAUUGUAAAGCCCUUUCGACGGGGACGAUGAUGACGGUACCCGUAGAGGGGGCCCCGGCUAACUUCGUG
rnacentral:rRNA from 1 species